GAAGGGACCUAGCGUAGUUCGGAAUUACUGGGCUUAAAGAGUUCGUAGGUGGUUAAAAAAGUUGGUUGUGAAAUCCCGGAGCUUAACUCCGGAACUGCAAUCAAAACUUUUUAGCUAGAGUAUGAUAGAGGAAAGCAGAAUUUCUAGUGUAGAGGUGAAAUUCGUAGAUAUUAGAAAGAAUACCAAUUGCGAAGGCAGCUUUCUGGAUCAUUACUGACACUGAGGAACGAAAGCAUGGGUAGCGAAGAGGAUUAGAUACCCUCGUAGUCCAUGCCGUAAACGAUGUGUGUU
rnacentral:rRNA from 1 species